CGCCACUACAUAACUUGUUAGAGCCGUCAAUCCAUCAUCGCUCUCCCUCUCGGCUCUCGUCUCUGGUCAGUCUAAUUCCACUCCCUCAGGCCUAAAAGCUUUUUUGAAGCUCGGCCAUGGCGACUAUACGAAUGAUAGAUAUAGCUGUUAACUUCACAGAUGGCAUGUUCAAGGGAGUUUACAAUGGCAAGCAGUGCCAUGUAGCAGAUAUUCCUUCUGUCCUCAGUAGGGCAUGGAGCGCCGGAGUUGACCGGAUUAUAGUGACUGGUGGGUCGCUAGAAGAAUCAAGGGAAGCUCUAGCCAUAGCAGAAACUGAUGGGAGGCUUUUCUGCACUGUUGGGGUGCAUCCUACCCGAUGCAAGGAAUUUGAAGAGAGCGGUGAUCCAGAAAAGCACUUUCAGGCACUAUUGUCCUUGGCUAAGGAAGGAGUUGAGAAAGGAAAGGUGGUGGCAGUUGGUGAAUGUGGAUUAGACUAUGACAGGCUUCACUUUUGCCCAUCUGAAAUUCAGAAGAAAUAUUUUGAGAAGCAGUUUGAAUUAGCAGAUGCCAUGAAGUUACCCAUGUUUCUGCACAUGCGUGCAGCUGCUAAAGAUUUUUGUGACAUUCUAUCACGAAAUAAAGAGAGGUUCAGUGCCGGGGUUGCCCAUUCAUUCACUGGCAGUGCAGAAGAUCGUGACAAGCUCUUAUCCUUCAAUGAUCUAUUUAUAGGUGUAAAUGGUUGCUCCUUGAAGACAGCGGAAAAUCUUGAGGUAGUAAGGGGCAUUCCUGUGGAAAGAAUGAUGAUAGAGACAGAUUCACCAUAUUGUGAAAUCAAGAAUACUCAUGCUGGGAUUAAUUUUGUAAAGUCAGUAUGGCCUUCUAAGAAGAAAGAAAAGUAUGAUCAAGAUUGCAUAGUUAAAGGCCGUAAUGAGCCUUGUUUAGUUCGGCUCCGUUUGGGAAGAGUGCAAGUGCUGGUUCAGUGCAAUAUAAUCUCCCACGAGUGUAUACUUGAGGCAAGUCCUUGGGGUGGUGGCAGGCUGUAAAGGUAUUGCUGACAUAAACCAGCUAAGUAAGACCUUGUACCACAACACCUGCAGAGGAUUCACUUGGACCUGAGGUUAUGGUGGUAAUGGAAGGGUUAAACAAGGCUAAAGAAUUGAAUACCAGAAAGUUAAUUGUUGAAGAUGACUCAAAAGUGGUUAUAGGCUGGUUGCAAAAGGAGGAAAAUGGAUUAUGGAAGUUUGCCAACGUAAAAAGAAAGUUCAAUUGGCUAUCUCAGAAUAUUGAAAUUCAGCUGCAAUGGGUUAAGAGAAGUGCUAACUCCUUUGCGGAUGCUCUUGCUGAACAAGGGGCAGGAAGGGAUGAAAUGUUAUGGGUUGUAUUGUAAUUCUGUUUGUUGUUUUUCUUGGGGAGGGUUAAGAGACUUUAUCCCUCCCCUUGCUUUCUGUACCUUUCUAUUAAUUCUUUAAUAAGAGUUGCUGUUAUUGAUAAAAAAUAUAGUCAUAUGGUAUCAUGUAUCUGACCUGCAAUUAAACAGUUGCAAUACUGGAGGUCCAAUGUGGUUUCAAACAGUGACUUCCUGCCCUUUUUUUGGUACUCACUCGACCAAUUAUUCCUACUUCAGUUUUUUCAAGUUAUUGUAACUAUAGUCGGUGGAGUUUAGGGACCAAGCCCAAUCCUUGAUAUUUCCUUCGAUGGAGCUUUUCCCGUCAACCAGCAUCUAAAGACUUCUGUCAUCAUCCUAAAGAGCAUAGCUUGAUGAAACAAGUUUGGUGAUUAAUUU